ensembl:snRNA U6 U6 spliceosomal RNA
GUGCUCACCUGGGCUGCACAUACACUAAAACUGGAGUAAUACCUAAAAGAUUAGCAUGGUCCCCGCACAAGGAUGACAAACAAAUUUGUGAAGCAUUCCAUAUUUUU